rnacentral:tRNA from 1 species
GAGCCCUUUUGGCACAGUGGUUAAAUGCCUGUACUGCAGAUCACAAGGUUGCGAGUUCAAUACUAGCCAGGGCUCA